AGAGUUUGAUCAUGGCUCAGAUUGAACGCUGGCGGCAUGCUUUACACAUGCAAGUCGAACGGCAGCACGGGGGCAACCCUGGUGGCGAGUGGCGAACGGGUGAGUAAUAUAUCGGAACAUGUCCGGAAGUGGGGGAUAACGUAGCGAAAGUUACGCUAAUACCGCAUAUGCCCUAAGGGGGAAAGGGGGGGAUCGCAAGACCUCUCGCUUUCGGAGUGGCCGAUACCGGAUUAGCUAGUUGGUGAGGUAAAGGCUCACCAAGGCGAUGAUCGGUAGCUGGUCUGAGAGGAUGAUCAGCCACACUGGGACUGAGACACGGCCCAGACUCCUACGGGAGGCAGCAGUGGGGAAUUUUGGACAAUGGGGGCAACCCUGAUCCAGCCAUUCCGCGUGAGUGAAGAAGGCCUUCGGGUUGUAAAGCUCUUUUGUCCGGAGCGAAACGGGUAGCCCUAAUACGGCUGCCUACUGACGGUACCGGAAGAAUAAGCACCGGCUAACUACGUGCCAGCAGCCGCGGUAAUACGUAGGGUGCGAGCGUUAAUCGGAAUUACUGGGCGUAAAGCGUGCGCAGGCGGUUUUGUAAGCCAGAUGUGAAAUCCCCGGGCUUAACCUGGGAAUGGCAUUUGGGACUGCAAGGCUGGAGUAUGGCAGAGGGGACUAGAAUUCCUGGUGUAGCAGUGAAAUGCGUAGAUAUCAGGAGGAAUACCGAUGGCGAAGGC
rnacentral:rRNA from 1 species